CGUAGGGGGCAAGCGUUAUCCGGAUUUAUUGGGUGUAAAGCGUGUGUAGGCGGUUUUUUAAGUCUAAGGUUUAAGCCCGGAGCUCAACUCCGGUACGCCUUAGAAACUGAUUUACUUGAGUGUGGUAGAGGCAAAUGGAAUUUCUAGUGUAGCGGUAGAAUGCGUAGAUAUUAGAAGGAACACCAGUGGCGAAGGCGAUUUGCUGGGCCAUUACUGACGCUGAGACACGAAAGCGUGGGGAGCAAAUAGGAUUAGAUACCCUAGUAGUCCACGCCGUAAACGAUGGAUACUAAGUGUUGGGGUUACCCAGUGCUGAAGUUAACACAUUAAGUAUCCCACCUGAGUAGUACGGUCGCAAGGCUGAAACUCAAAGGAAUUGACGGGCACCCGCACAAGCGGUGGAGCAUGCUGUUUAAUUCGAAGAUACGCGAAGAACCUUACCUGGGCUUGACAUAACGUCGAAAGCUCUAGAAAUAGAGUCCCUUCUUCGGAAGCGGCGCUACAGGUGGUGCAUGGUUGUCGUCAGCUCGUGUCGUGAGAUGUUCGGUUAAGUCCGAUAACGAGCGCAACCCUUGUCCUUAAUUGCUAACAUUAAGUUGAGAACCUUAAGGAUACUGCCGGCGAUAAGUCGGAGGAAGGUGAGGAUGACGUCAAAUCAUCAUGCCCCUUACGUCCAGGGCUACAGGCGUGCUACAAUGGCCGGUAUAAAGAGAAGCAAUACCGUGAGGUGGAGCAAAUCUCCAAAGCCGGUCCCAGUUCGGAUUGUAGUCUGCAACUCGACUACAUGAAGCUGGAAUCGCUAGUAAUCGUGAAUCAGAAUGUCACGGUGAAUACGUUCCCGGGUGUUGUACACACCGCCCGUCACGCCAUGGGAGUUGGUAAUACCCGAAGCUGCUAGCCUAACCCGCAAGGGAGGGGGGCAAUUAAGGUAGGACCAGUGACUGGGGUGAAGUCGUAACAAGGUAUCCCUACGGGAACGUGGGGAUG
rnacentral:rRNA from 1 species